AAAAGCAACUUGGGGGAGGUAAGGUUGACUUGGCUUACACUUUCCUCAUCAUAUCCCUCUAUCAUAAAGGGAUAUCAAGUCAGGACAGAAAUUCAAGGCUGGAACCCGGAGACUGAAGGAGAGACCAUGAGAAAUAAAGCUUACAUUUCCAGGACCACCUCCCCAGGAUUGACACUUCCCACAGUAGACUGAACCCUCCUAUGUCAAUUAAAAAUCAAGAAACUGUCCCACAGUUGACAAUGGAUGCUAAUCAUGAUAUAACCCUUUUAUCUAGCAGCUUCUAGUGGCUACCGGAAACCCUUUGCUUGUGACCACCAUUGCUAUACACUUGGAGAAGCCAGAAGAAGACAUUAGAUACCCCCUGGAACCGGAGUUAUAGAUGGUGUAAUUCCUAGCGCCUGGUGACUGCUAGGAAUUGAACUUAGAUCCUCUGAAAGAACAGCCAGUGUUCUUAACUAUUGAACAGUCUCUCCAGCCUUUCCUCCCACACUAUAAGAAAGAGGAAGAGGAGGAGGAAGAGGAGGAGGAGGAGGAAGAGGAGGAGGAAGAGGAGGAGGAGGAAGAAGAGGAGGAGGAGGAGGAAACAAGGCCUCAUCAUGUAGCCCUAUUUGACCUGGAGUGCUACAUAGACCAAGCCAGCCUGGCACUCACAGUGUUCAACCUACCUCUGCCUCCUGAGUGCUGGUAUUAAAACAUGUAUGACUACACCCA